UUUCUCAAGAAAGUCAACUUCUUGCAAUAUAAGGAAAUAGGAACUAGACUUGUCUCAAUCACCAUCUAAAACAUAGAGUACAAAUAGGGACUUAGCCCUUUACAUCAAUAAAGUCUCCAUAAUAGGAAAAUACAACAUAGUCUAGAUUAUAGAGGAAACUAGAAUCAAAACAUCUUGUCCUCGAACUUGAGGAUUCACCAAGCCGGGGGAAUAGUCAACCCAAGCUUCUCUUCAGAAAGUGGAAGAAGUAUCAACGACCCGAACCUACACUCAUAGUAAAGGGAAAAAGGGGUUAGCACAUAAAAAUGUACUAAGUAUGGAAAUAUGCAUAAAACCUUUAAAUAUGCUUUAAAAGGGACAUUUUAGGAAAAGCAUGCAUUUAUGAAGUUUGGAGACCAACAUAUAUCAACAAUGUCAAUUAUAAGCCAAAAGACACAAUUAUAGCCAUAACAUAACAACCCAUCACCUUAGCAACCUUUAAAGAAUACUUGUGCAAUGUAUAGUUGGCAUCCCAUAAUACCAACCACACUAAGUACCCUUUGAAAGCUACCUUGGUCAUGUAUAUCAUCAAUAGACUUUAUCAUAAACAUAAGUCAUAAGUGAAGAACUAAAAAUGUACAUCAUUUGAACAUAAGGAGAGUCAUGCAUAUCACUAUCCAAUAAUAAUACAUGCAUACUUUCAUAUUUCAUCAUAUCAUAAAGGAACUAUCCCAUGAGCCUCCUAAUAAGUCCACUUGUGCCAUGUACAAGUAAGGUCCCAUACCCCUACUUAUACUAAGUCAACCUACUAAGAAACUCAUAGUUUAGUCCUUAUCUUAUUCAUUAUCUUAAUUGCAUAGGGAAGAGUAACCUAUAACUGACAUAGACCAUAUGAGCUACAUGGAAUUCGGUGUCAUAUGACCCCACACCGAAAGAAGGCGUUCUACUUGCCUAAGGUAGAACAAACUAUAUAGCUAUAAGGUGGAUCCAGUAGCUAAGUCCUAUGUUGGCACAUAGUUCUAGGAUAGGGAGAUUGCUUCUGGAAACCCGACCUAUUGCAUUAGCGGAGGGGCUUCCAUCUCAUGAGUAUCACUAGGAUGACCCAACCUUUUGCAUUAGCGGAAGGGCUUUUUCCUCAUUGUCCAUAUCCACUCGGUGCUAAGAGUUACUUCCCAAAUUAUACGUUAAUUGUAUUUAGAUUGUAUCUAUAUGUGUGAAGGAAUACUAGCCUUCGUUCAAUACAACCAUCAUAAUAGCUCAUAGAUUCUUUAUAGGUGAGAAUGUACUUUCAACCUAGAAUCAACAUAUCUAUGUGAGUAAAACUUUCACAUCAUCAUUCAUAGUGUCUUCAUGAGAAACACACUUUCAAUCAACACAUCAUAAUAACAUCAUCCUAGACAAUUCAUAAUCAUAUGUGUGCAUAGGGAUAAAGGAAACUACUCUUUCAACAUUACCCUAAUUCACACAUAAGUCAUAGGAUCUUCACCUUUCAAGUGGAAUAACAAUUCAUGUAUUGAAAUCUUAAACAUAUAAUGUCAUCAUACAUUGCCUUCAAGGCUAUACAUUAAGAUUCAACUCUUACCAUUGACCCCUUCAAGGGUUACCAACAAUACCUUGUAAUUACACUAAGAAUUCUCACAUUAAGCAUAAGUAAAGCAAGAUUAAUCAACUAAUUCAACAUAUCCACAAUUGUAGGUAAUCACCUUGCAUCAAUACAUUCAUCAAUAUUCAAGAAAUUGGGGUCAUGGGGUGCACAUGGGUUCAAAGGGAUUUUCACAAUAUAAAUCAUCAAUUAACUUCAAUUCAUACAUAAUAUAGGUCAAAUAACAUAAUGAAAACGUUUUUGUUGAGAACCCAUGGCUAGAGUAGAAACCCUAGUUUUUGGUCAAAUAGUCAAUUUCGAAAAUAGAAGUUUUGAAGGGCUUCAUGGGGAAACUAUUCCAUAAAUCAAGAUCCCCAUACCUUAUUUAGUGUUUUGCCCACGUUUUGGUGUUGGAAUCACGAACCCUUGAGCCCUAAUCUUCAAGCUCUUGUGUUCAUUAAUGGAGAGACUUGUAGAGAGAGAAAUAUUUGAGGAAUUGGGUUUUGAGAGAAUGAUUUGGGUGUUGGUG
rnacentral:lncRNA from 1 species